UUACGUACGAGCGAGUCUUGGCUACGCAACAAAUCCUUAGUUUCCUCUAUUUUCUUUUUCUCUCACCAAAAUAAGUUAACCUACAAUAUUUUACAACCACUUUCAUAGCUAUGGAAAAAGAAUUAAGAAUUCUUUUCUUGUCUGUCCCAUACAUUCUUUGUUUUAAAUCAUGAAGGUCUCUUCUCUUGUAGUAUCCAAUUAUUUCACCAACUAAAUUUGGUUUACGACUUAGAUUGAUUUUCCAAUCGUUUGGAGAAAACAAAAAGGAUCAUAUAUAGAUAAGAUUAUACUAGAUGAAUCUUCAUAAAUACUCUAGGUACGUCUAACCGUACUCACGAACUUUCAUCGAAGUUUCAUUCGAAUAUGGGCAAAUCUUCAACUCCCUCUGUCUCAAAUUAUUUGCUACAUUUGUUUUAUCACAAAGACCAAGGAGUGACUGGGGACCACUGAAGGAAAUGGAAUUAACAAAAAAGCAAAUAGGUAAAUUGUGGGACCUAUGUACUAUUUAUGGAAAUAUUUACAAAAACCAAGGAUGGAAUGAUGACAAAAUUGUAAAUAAAGUGUGGGACUAUGUACUAUAUAUGAAAAUAUUUGCAAAUGUAGCAAAUAAAUUGGGACACACCUAAAUGGCAAAAUGUAGCAAAUAAAUUGGGACGGAGGGAGUAACUGAUAAGGGACUGUUUGUCUUUACAGUGAUUUUGGCAAAAGAACAAGCACCAUAUACUGCGCAAACAAUGCCAUACCUCGUUAUCAUCCAAACAGAAACUGGUUCACAUGAUUUCAAUUGCACUUUCAUCAGGUUAUUCUUGGCUUCUUGCUAGUGCAAGGAAAUAAAAUACAACUAUGGCCCAUAAUACAAGAUGAAGUAUAAUAAUUCCUAAAACCCAUGAGACUUCAAGCAAAGACUUACGUGCUGCAACAUCCAUAAGAAAAUAAAAAAAGAAAUAGAAUAAUGGGUUGAAAAAACCCAUUAUCUCAUAAAGCCCCAACACCUAUUCUAAUAGGGAAAGCGGCGGCACACAAGAAAAAAGAGGUUAAAAAAGAAAAAAAACCCUCAUUAGAGGCACGAAAUAAAAGAGGAGAACAGAGGGCAGCAGCUUGGACACCUACGGAGGACGAGCUUGAGAAGGCAGCACACAGACGGACGAAACAGAGGAACGAGAACAGCAGCAACUCGCGAGUACGGAGAAGCAGUAGCUCAGGCAUCAACAUUGGGCAUCGUCCAACUCCGAAAUUAGAGUUUUCUCUUCUCUAUUUAAGUUUAUGCAAUUAACAAUGUUAAUCAUCAUUGGUUGUGUUUUCUUAAUCUCCAUGUCUGGCUAAUUUCCCUUGUUCUAGGUUAGGGAUGUAAUCUUUUAUUUUCUAUCAAUGAUUUGAAUUAUAUUGUUUGGGUUUGAUUUAUAUGAUUGCAAUUUGAUAAUCUUGUUUUAA